rnacentral:piRNA from 1 species
UCAGAGCUGAUGGAUUUCACUCAUAAUGU